CAUAACUGACCUACGACAGAAUUUUUACUAGGAUUAAAUGUCAGGAAUUGUGAAAAACUGAGUUCAAAUGUAUUUGGCUAAGGUGUAUGUAAACUGGAUAUCUACAAGGCCAUGGAUAGGCAGAGCUGUGGAUUGGCAUUUCCCUGAUAACUGUAUUGAAGACACAUUUUAAAUGAAGAAGUUAGACAUUACAUUUGUGUCAUUGCUAAUUAUUUUCUCACAGGGAGUAGUUAUUUUAGAUUAGCUGAAUGUUUACUGAGGUUUGUACUUAAAUAGGACAACCCAUAUGUAUGAGAGCUGUUUUGGUAUCUUCCCUGUAUAAAGACUGGCUCAACUCUUAGUUUCUCAUGCAUUGCUGGAUCAAUAGGUAAGAACAGUCUUCAUCUGCAUCAGGGUUCAUUUGACACAUUGUAGAGUGAAGAGACCUGGGGGAUGUUUUUGGAAAGUGUUGGUGAUGUUUAACAGGACUGUCUCAUGGUAAGAUGAUACUUUAUUUGUGUUCUGAUUCAGCUUUAUACUUUUUGCAUUGCUUUCUAUUUUGCUCAGAAAAAGUCUGAAUUGUGAUGGAUAGAUAUUUUUCACUCUAUCCUCAGGCAUGGAGACCUACUGUACUGUAAUGCUACACUGGAUGGAGCCCAGUGUUACGGAUUUGUGUGAGGAACUGUCCUUCCCUUAAAGACACGCAAGUAUCACAGGCUUGAUCGCCUCAUUCUGAAGGCUGUGGUCCUUUUAGUUCUGCAUCUGAAAUGUGAGAUGGGGUAAAUCAGUGGUGUGAUGACACACAGGCAACCAGCAUCACUGCUAGGAGGAGACCACCAGCUGACACUGACCCCAAGAUGAGCGCAAUGGUCCUAGUUGACAUGGUGGAGACGGUAAAUAGAUGAGCAUUAAUAAUGGCAAUACACACAUCAUCAACAUAAUCAUCAUAUUAAUCAGCAUCAAAUAUUACUGUGUGAAAUAACAUGA